AAGUCGUAACAAGGUUUCCGUAGGUGAACCUGCGGAAGGAUCAUUAACACGUAUCCAAACGUUAAAACAACCCUGAGUAAAUCAGGCGCUAAAGAAUUACAGAUUUUGAUUUUGGGAAGUUCUGUGUGUACGUGGACGCUGCAAUUGAGCGCUAGAUAAAGCACCCUGGUACCCUAGAGCACUCCCCUGUCUGAAAGCGGCAGGGAUCAAUGUUCAGGGUGGCGCAGUCAACGAUCGCUGUAGGUCCACACGAUCGGCGACCGGGGUGGAGGCGAAAGCCCCUACGUCAUCCCUAUGUACCCUCCGGGACUUGCUCCGUCAUAAAUCGAACAACUGUUAACUGCGA
rnacentral:misc_RNA from 1 species